rnacentral:lncRNA from 1 species
UGCUUGGACAGAGAGGUCUCCCCAACAUCACGAGGCAGCAAACUGAAAGCAAGAACGUGGCGAAGUGCAAACAAAUCCAGUCCACAAAAGGCAGAAAACAACAUUUGCCAAGCCCAGGAAACAGAUAAAAAACCCCACCAGCCCGAGGGGCUUUUCCUACCUCGGAAUCGGAGGAGCUGUUUUGAUUCGUUUCUGAUUCAUUGACUAGAGACGAUUUGACAUCAGCUAAAUCCCUCUCUGCCGAGGAGUUUUCGGAGCUCUUCUCCUCCUGUUCGCCCUCGUCUUUGAAGGAAAUCAGUUCGUCGUUGGCGCCUAGGUCAUCCCCUCCACCGCCGUUCAGCUGCGGCAUUUUUUUUUCACCCACCAGCAGCAAUUUUGGAAGAAAAAUGAAGGAGGAAGAAAAGCCAAAAAAAAUCACCCCCAAAAAGUUUUGCCCCCCCAAAAAAUAUUGCAAGAAAAAGACGAGUCCAAGGUGAACUUUUUUCUGCUUGGGGGUCUUUUUCUCCUGGGGAGGGGAAAAGAGGGAGGAGGGGAGGGGAAGGGGGGGGAGAUCUUCUGCACGCGUGAGUUUGGGUUUCUUUUUUCUCUCGUUCCCAAGGAUCCGAUCAAUGUGCAAAAAAAUAAUAAAUAAAAAAGGGGGGUAAAAAAAAAAAAAACACCAACAACAACAAGAAGUCAGAUAUAAAGAGCAAAGGGGGGGGGAAGCCGAAGAUACAGGAGGUGCUCGUGCCGCUCGGAUUUGAGUGAGUUGAAGUUAGACUGAGAGCUUUUCAGUUCAAAGGCGGCGCUGAUUGACAGAUAGAAAAAGGGGGAUCGAAAUCCGGAGGAACGGAGUAGUCUGGGAGCGGAGAUUAUUGACAGGGCGAGAGGAACACACUGCCUUAAUGAGAUGCCGGAGGGCGGGGCCGGCCCAGUGACGUGUGCAUAAAUAAACAGCCGGGGUGGGCGGGGCGGGGGCGGCUAACAAUGAUCCUUUCGGGCGCCGGGAGAGGGAGGAGGGAAAGAAGGAGGAAGAGAGGGGCGGGGAAGCCGGGGGGAGACGGAGGGAGGAGUGUGCAGGGGGAGCGGCCUGCGCGGAGUGUGUGCGAGCCCGGGAUUCUGGGCGAGGGUGCAGGGACUUGCUCCGGGAGGGGGCGGUUUCAGAAAGACAAUGCGGGGUGGGAGAGGAGGAGAAGGGGGUGGCGACCAAGUCAGGAAUCCGAGCCGAGGAAGGCGGAAGGAAAGCCCACUUGGGGGGCGGGGAUGGGGAGAGGCCCAAAACAGUGCACUUUAGAAAUAUUAGAAAUAAGUCUUAAGGGAGGGGGAAAAGGAAGGGUAGUAUUUGAGAAAGUGGUGGCUGGGGGAGGGGGUGGGGGGGUGCUUGGUGGUUAAUUCAGCAGUGAAAUCAGCCACCCUUAGACGGGAUGCGACAAAAGUGGUCAAAAGGAAAGAUCAACCCUCCACUUUCAGAGAGCUUGGGGAAGUGAAGGGGCUGGUCAAAGUUCCUGGUCAUCUACAAUGAAAGAAACUAUUAACCCAUGAGGCCUCCCUCCUCCCUUUUUUGUUUAUUAGUAGUGAAUCAUUUCAUGAAAUGUUAAGUCCCACUAGGAUGGAUAUGCCAAAACGACUUUUUAUGCAAAAAACAAAUGCUAAAUGUCAGAAACAUUAAAAGUAUCCUUAAGGAAAAAUAUAUGAUUCUUUUAAAUGUA